rnacentral:rRNA from 1 species
GACGAACGCUGGCGGCGUGCUUAACACAUGCAAGUCGAGCGGAAAGGCCCUUCGGGGUACUCGAGCGGCGAACGGGUGAGUAACACGUGGGUAACCUGCCCCAGACUUUGGGAUAACUCUCGGAAACGGGGGCUAAUACCGGAUACGACACAGCUUCGCAUGGGGUCUGUGUGGAAAGUUUUUCGGUUCGGGUUGGGCUCGCGGCCUAUCAGCUUGUUGGUGGGGUGAUGGCCUACCACGGCGACGACGGUUAGCCGGCCUGAGGGGGCGACCGGCCAGACUGGGACUGAGAUAGGGGCCAGCCCUCUACGGGAGGCAACAGUGGGGAAUAUUGCAAUAUGGGCGGAGGCCGUAUGCAGCGACGCCGAGUCAGCGAUGACGGCCUUCGUGUUGUAAACCUCUUUCAGCAGGGACGCAGCGUAAGUGACGGUACCUGCAGAAGAAGAUCUGGCCAACUACGUG